AAUCAACAUCAAUUCCCAAUCAUCAGAUGCAUCAUCAAUAAUUUUCUCAAGCUUGAUAUUCAAAUUAAAGAGAUAAAAGAUAGCAAGAACAAACAGAUUAGCUUGAAUGAUUACAACUCUAAGAUAAACACAACAAAAACUCAAUUUCAAGCAAAAAUCAAAUAUAAAACCCAAUGUAGAGUGUUCGGCUAUGAUGUAUUAAUGUCAGAUUUGAAUGAAAAAUCAUUAAGGAAAUAAGAAAUAUUCAGCCAAACACAUGAAAAAUUCGGAAGAUUUGAAACUACUACAAAAAACCCUAGAAAAAUCAAUUUAGCCGAAUGCUAUUGUGAUGAAAAACAAACAAAACGUGAAUGAAGGAUUCUAGGAAGAAGUUAAAAGAGUAGAUCUAAAGAUAAAUACCUUAUUUGAUGCCCAAUUGCCCUGAUACCAAAUCAUGAACACCUCCAAUAUUCAGAUUAGAGACAUAACAUAUAAAGAUAGAAUUAUAUUUUUUAAUAAGAAACAAGGCAGAAUUGAUAACCAAUUAAGACACAAUAGUAGUUAGGAUAGAGCACCUUGAUUAUAAAGAUA
rnacentral:misc_RNA from 1 species